rnacentral:rRNA from 1 species
GGCGGCGUGCUUACACUGCAGUCGAACGGGGCGAUUGAAAGCUUGCUUUUGAAAGCCUAGUGGCAAACGGGUGAGUAACGCGUAGGCAACCUGCCUCUAAGAUGGGGACAACAGAGCGAAAGUUCUGCUAAUACCGAAUGUUGUGUAUUUCCCGCAUGAGAGAUACAUUAAAGAUGGCCUCUAUUUAUAAGCUAUCACUUAGAGAUGGGCCUGCGUCUGAUUAGCUGGUUGGUGGGGCAACGGCCUACCAAGGCGACGAUCAGUAGCCGGUCUGAGAGGAUGAACGGCCACAUUGGGACUGAGACACGGCCCAGACUCCUACGGGAGGCAGCAGUGGGGAAUCUUCCGCAAUGGGCGCAAGCCUGACGGAGCAACGCCGCGUGAGUGAAGAAGGCCUUCGGGUCGUAAAGCUCUGUUGUCGGGGACGAACGGUGCAUAUAUGAAUAAUAUGUGCAAAUGACGGUACCUGACGAGGAAGCCACGGCUAACUACGUGCCAGCAGCCGCGGUAAUACGUAGGUGGCUAGCGUUGUCCGGAAUUAUUGGGCGUAAAGGGAGCGCAGGCGGGAAGGUAAGCCAGUCCUAAAAGUGCGGGGCUCAACCCCGUGAGGGGAUUGGAACUAUCUUUCUUGAGUGCAGGAGAGGAAAGCGGAAUUCCCAGUGUAGCGGUGAAAUGCGUAGAUAUUGGGAGGAACACCAGUGGCGAAGGCGGCUUUCUGGACUGUAACUGACGCUGAGGCUCGAAAGCCAGGGGAGCGAACGGGAUUAGAUACUCCGGUAGUCCUGGCCGUAAACGAUGAAUACUAGGUGUAGGAGGUAUCGACCCCUCCUGUGCCGGAGUUAACGCAAUAAGUAUUCCGCCUGGGGAGUACGGCCGCAAGGCUGAAACUCAAAGGAAUUGACGGGGGCCCGCACAAGCGGUGGAGUAUGUGGUUUAAUUCGACGCAACGCGAAGAACCUUACCAGGCCUUGACAUUGAGUGAAAGG